CKCMACCKRRGUUUGAUCCUGGCUCAGGACGAACGCUGGCGGCSUGYUUAACACAUGCAAGUCGAACGGAAAGGCCUCUUCGGAGGUACUCGAGUGGCGAACGGGUGAGUAACACGUGGGUAAUCUGCCCUGCACUUCGGGAUAAGCCUGGGAAACUGGGUCUAAUACSGAAUAGGACCAUUUAGCGCAUGCUUUAUGGUGGAAAGCUUUUGCGGUGUGGGAUGGGCCCGCGGCCUAUCAGCUUGUUGGUGGGGUGACGGCCUACCAAGGCGACGACGGGUAGCCGGCCUGAGAGGGUGUCCGGCCACACUGGGACUGAGAUACGGCCCAGACUCCUACGGGAGGCAGCAGUGGGGAAUAUUGCACAAUGGGCGCAAGCCUGAUGCAGCGAUGCCGCGKGGGGGAUGACGGCCUUCGGGUUGUAAACCUCUUUCAGCAGGGACGAAGCGCAAGUGACGGUACCUGCAGAAGAAGCACCGGCCAACUACGUGCCAGCAGCCGCGGUAAUAC
rnacentral:rRNA from 1 species